rnacentral:piRNA from 1 species
CUGUAACAUAUACUGAGAAAGACUUUUUA